AACCAACUUAGGUGCUGAAACAAGUCCCAAGCACCGAAUAAACCCCCAUCUUUAGGGGGGCUUACAUAUAUACAUGUGUGUGACUGUCUGUACAUGGAAAGAGAGAUGGAGGAGCUGAAAAUGAUGAAACGAAGUGUUUUUGCCUCUCAAAGUUCGGAUGUGGUGGUGCUCUCUCUCCAGAAAUGUACUUUUCCUCGUUGAUUAUCCAUUUGCUAGCGACAAUUUAAGGGCUUCCUUUCAUUCCCAAACUGGUCAACAUCAUAAACCACACAGUACGAGUAGUCGAACCCAAUUCAUGAAGUCUGCGAAAUCAAAAUGGAUUUGAUUUCACUAACCUUGACGAUGCACCCUCACUGUUCGAUCAAAUGUCUCAAAUGCGACCUCUUCCUUCAGUUGUGCAUUUUAAUAAAUUGUUAGGGGCCAUUGUGAGAAUGAAACAUUACACCACUGCAAUUUCUUUACUUGAGCAAAUGGAGUCCUCAGAAAUAGCUGAGCCAGACGCUCAUACUCUAGGCAUCAUGAUGUUACUGCCAUUUGAAUCGGGUCGAUUUGGGUUUGUCUGUUCUGGCUCGAACAUUGGUUAUGACGUGAGCUGUACAAAUGCUCACCACUCUGAUGAGGGGACUCUGUCGCCAUGAUAAACUAGGUCAGGGAGUAGAGUUGUUUAAUUACAUGGUGGCAAAAGGAUUUAACUUAAUACAGUUACUUGUGGAAUGAUUUUAAAUGGGUUGUGCAAAACGGGGUACACCAGGCGGCUAUUGAGUUGGUUAAGAAGAUGGAAGAGAGAAAUUGGGAAAGCAAUGUCAUUGUUUAUAGCAUGAUCAUUGACAGUCUUUGUAAGGACAGAUUGGUUACAGAAGCUAUAACAUAUUGAUUAAUGGAAGAGAGUGGUUGCUCACCCAAUGGUUUCACUUGCAUUAUAGUUGUCCAGGGAUUUCUUCGAAACAAUGAGACUUUAAGGCAAUACAACUUUUUCAAGAAAUGGUUGAGAAGGGAUUCUAUGCUGAUGAUGCAUGUACUAUAACCCUAUUAUUGAAUUUAUCAAAUAAUAGUGGAUUGGAUCAGUCAGUGUUGGAGAUGCUCAAAAAGUUUAUGUGAUCUCUAUUGGGUUUUCUCAUGUUGGGUAGAAGUUUCACAUUUUGUUGGCCUUGCAGUGUGAUGCAUGCAUGACUUAUUGAUUCUUGCAUCAGUGUCUUCUUCAUGUUUUGGGGGUGAAAUUAUUGUUCCAUGAGAAGUAUGAACUACGAAGGAGAGAACCUGAGUUUCAAGAAUGGCACCUCAUCAACUUCAUUUUCCUUUCUUGUUUACACUUUGUACGAUGACGGUACGCCAUUCCCUCCCUACCUAUGUACUAAUUGCUUUAUGUUAAUAAUAGAACCAUCCCAUUAAGGAGGAAGAAAAAAAAAGCACCUUUUUCGAAUCCAUCAGACCUUUCAGAGAUUAUUUUCUGUGGAGAAGCAGAAGAAAUUGUUUUGAAUUUUCAGAUGCACCCUUUCCUUUAUAUUCAAUUGUUUAUAUAAGUUGCUAUUCGCACAGCCAGAAUAUUUGAUUCCAUUAUCUCAGCUUGCCCCCGAAGUAACGCUUUGGGUUGUGAACAUUUGGAAGAGUUGGUGCCUCCUUUGGUCUGUAAGAUCUUUCUUGACAAAAUACUAUAGGCUCAUGGGACAGCGUCAAUUGAAUUGGGGUGAUUUCAUAGCUAGAUUCUUGAAUAGGUUUCGAAUAUUAAUUAUGAUGUGAAUGUGAUAAUGUUUCUAUGGGGAAGCGUAAUCCAGGAUUGGCACUCAAUAUGUUGAGCAGUUCAAAUGGUCAUGUUUUGUGCUUCAUCUCUUGCAACCUAACUCAUUGUUGAACUACUUUUUCUUUCUUUAAAUUAUAAUCGGGUGCCUUGUUAAAAUUCAAAUGCAGGGUGAUAUUAAUUUUUUGUGGGAAGUACAAAUGAGAGAAACUGAGUUGGGAGGUGUUAGGGAAUGCUGGUGGGAAUUGGAUGAAACUGCUUGACAAGAUGGGAUAUAAAGAAUGUGGCUUGGUGAAAACAAGCAAGGGAUUGUUUCUCUGAUCAAAUCAAAGUUGCUCCUGAAGUAUAUGGGAAUUAGUUUCAAUGAUCAAGUUUGAGUUGGCGAUCAGAACGUAUAUGGGCAGAAUUUAUAGAAGGGUCUCUACUAGGCCUUUAUCCUCUUUUAGGUUCAUUACGCUUCUUAUUGGUUGGAAUUUCCAGUUACCUUGGUAGAAAUUUUAUGUAUUUUUUCAAAAAGACACAAGUUACAAUGCUCUGAAACUUGCCAUACAAGGAGUGAUCAUUUGCUCUUCUGCCUUUGUUUAUCAGUGGUCCAUUUCAAUCCAUCUGCUCUUUCCAUCAACCUCUUGCUUCUAUUGCUUCCUUCGCACUUUUUCAUGAGCUUUCAAAUUUCUGUUGGUGAUUCACUCUAUUUAUCCAUCUCUUCAAAAGGAUCUUUGAGGUACUCUUUCCCCCCCUCUCUCUCUCUAGAUAUAUAUAUAUAUAGUGUGUGUGUGUGAUAUAUAUAUAUAUAUAUAUAUAUAUAUAUAUAUAUAUAUAUAUAUAUAACUAAUCAUCCUAGAAAUAUUUCAGCUUUUUGACCUCCUUAAUGCUGCAAGAAGGACUCAAUGGAAAAAUGAUGCUUGUCCAAUUGAGAUAAUUCUAAAAAUAAUUAUUGAACUAUAUAAACAUUUUGAAUAUGAAAAAUAUUACUAUUUGAGCAUCUUUUAUAGUUAAAAAAACAAAAUUAUAUAUACUAUGGAUUGUUCUCUAAUGCUUGCUCUAUUCUGUUUUUUCUUUUUUCAUUUUUUUUUUGGGGGGGCAAAUGCUUUUUCCUCGGGGAAUAAAAAUGGAAAGUAUUAUGUAAAAAUUUGUUUUGUCUGCCCAACUAUAUAUGAAAUAACUUAACAUUACCAUUUCAUUUUCUUGUUAGAAAGAUAUUCUGCAAUUAGGGAGUGAAAAUGAUUGCAAAUUUUGCUGGUUCUGUUGAUCAUAUGAAUUUAUCUAAUAGUCAGAGCUGUUUACUGUUUUGGGCCCUAUUUCUCGGUAAGGGUACUUGGCUUUUGUUCAUACUGAGAAAAAACAAAACUCAUCCAGCGGUACUGUCCUCUGAUGGCUUAACUAGGGAAGCAAAAGAGACUGAUACAGAGAUUUCGAACACCUGCUUUCAUAGUUGGUUCGUAAGAAUUUGCUGCUUUUAUCGUGUUGGUUGCUGGAUGCUCUUUCUCUUAGGCGCAUGAUUUUGUUCCAAGCCCUUUGUUAUGGUGUCCGGUGUUAACUGCACUAGAACCUCUAACAAAUCUGUCCUUAUGGAGCAUCCUCCCCCAGCUGAGGGUGCUUCAGAUGGUGUUGAUGGGUCGACAACUCUACCAAUCUAGUCAUGUCAGGGAAAAGAUGAUUGCACAGUUGCACUGCCUCAAAUGUCUGCUUCUGAGGGUGCUGGCCCGGUUAAUGGAAUUGCUAAUUUUCGCCCCAUUCUUGGCAAGAAGGAAGGAUGUGAAUGUUACGGUGCAAAGCGCACUCAAUCAAGUCACUGUAGUCGGGCAGAAAUGGAGGCAGCUAAUAAAGAGCUGAUGAUGAGAGCUCAGAACAACUGAAAACAUAGCUUGAGAGGCAUUACAAAGAGAGAAGGAUUUGAAGGAAUUUUGUGAGGCACACACACAUGGCCACAAAAUUGAUUCAUUACAAAACAAAACAUUGCUACCAUAAGACCCCAAUAACCUGAGACACACACAUAUGGCCACAAAAUAUUUUUGUUUUGUAAAGACUCAAUAUGUAAUGAAUCUCAUAUUUCCAAUCUAUUCUAUUUAAUG